rnacentral:lncRNA from 1 species
GUUCCUGCAGGGGUUUCUGCUUGUGGAUUUCUGCUCCAACAAGGGUGACGGGUUGAGGAUGGAAAAAAAGAACCAGAGUUUGAAUACAUUUCAACAUUGAUGCAGAAAAUACUUCUGAGCAUCUAAUGUGGUUGCAGGUCCUUCUAGUUGUGGCAUGUGGGACGCUGCCUCAAUGUGGCCUGACGAGCAGUGCCAUGUCCGAAGCCAGGAUCUGAACCAGUGAAACCCUGGGCCGCUGCAGUGGAGUUCGCGAACUUAACCACUCGGCCACAGGGCCGGCCCCUGUAGGUGGAUUUUUUUUAAAAG